rnacentral:lncRNA from 1 species
AUGCAUGCUAGGCUUCUCUGGAAAACACACCCAACCUCACGUGCAUUGUCCCUUGUCUCCUUAUGCUUCCAUUCCAGUGGAGCAGAUGGAUGUUUAACAUGGAAUUGCAGUGAGAGACAAGAAGACUGAGAGAAGAUGGAAUCUUAGGCUUCCUUCCUUGCCUGCUUGAAGAAAGCGGAGCCAAAAGAGCUGAAAUUCAUAAGAAAUUGAUGCCUUCUUCAUUCAGA